rnacentral:rRNA from 1 species
UACAGAGGUCUCAAGCGUUGUUCGGAUUCAUUGGGCGUAAAGGGUGCGUAGGUGGCGCUGUAAGUCAGGUGUGAAAUUUCGGAGCUUAACUCCGAAACUGCAUUGAUACUGCGGUGCUUGAGGACUGGAGAGGAGACUGGAAUUUAUCGGUGUAGCAGUGAAAUGCGUAGAGAUCAUGAGGAAGACCAGUGGCGAAGGCGGGUCUCUGGACAGUUCCUGACACUGAGGCACGAAGGCCAGGGGAGCAAACGGGAUUAGAACCUACCGUGU